rnacentral:rRNA from 1 species
UACGGGGGGAGCAAGCGUUGUUCGGAUUUACUGGGCGUAAAGGGCGCGUAGGCGGCGUGACAAGUCACUUGUGAAAUCUCCGGGCUUAACCCGGAGCGGCCAAGUGAUACUGUCGUGCUAGAAUGCGGAAGGGGCUACUGGAAUUCUCGGUGUAGCGGUGAAAUGCGUAGAUAUCGAGAGGAACACCUGCGGCGAAGGCGGGUAGCUGGGCCGACACUGACGCUGAGGCGCGAAAGCCAGGGGAGCGAACGGG